ACGUAGGACCCAAGCGUUGUCCGGAUUUACUGGGUAUAAAGGGUGCGCAGGCGGUCGAGUGCGUCAGAGGUGAAAUCUCCGGGCUUAACCCGGAGGGUGCCUUUGAUACGGCUUGACUUGAGUCCGAGAGAGGGUGAUGGAAUUCCUGGUGUAGCGGUGAAAUGCGUAGAUAUCAGGAGGAACACCGGUGGCGAAGGCGGUCACCUGGCUCGGAACUGACGCUCAGGCACGAAAGCGCGGGGAUCAAACAGG
rnacentral:rRNA from 1 species